GCAUAUCCAAGAAGAAUAACUGAAAGCCAGGGUUCCAUGCACCAAGUCUAACACAGAAAACAGAAACAGUCAUAGAAGAUGGAAAAACUAUCUAAUCGGAAAUCCUGGGAAUGUUAAAUGUGCUGGCCACGUGGCUAUGCCGUAGUGCCUGUACCUUCCUGCUUGGGAACCUGCAGUGGGCCCUCCAGCUGGCUCCCUUCUUGAAAGCCUCCCCUCCAAGAUAACGUCUGAAGGAUUGACGGCAGAUCCAGUUUCCUUUAGGAGACACUUUUCUUUGGAGAGGGAGGUUCUUUACUAAAAUAUCUUCUUAGGUUUUCAGCUAAGCUUUGCUUUGGCUUUAGUUGUAUUGGGGUUAUUUCUAAGUAAAGUAAUGUACAAAUGAGUGUUUUGUAUUGAAAGUUUUGUUAUGAGAUUUUUCAUACUUUUGUCCAUGGGCUGUUUUUCAGGUUGAUACUUUUUCAGGUGUGGCUGAUCCCCACCGCACUGUACAUACAAGAAAUAUAUACGUGUACUUGGCAUAGUUAAGGUUAAGUAGGUCUCCAGUUGGCUACCGUUACAUAUAAUGGCACUUCGUUUGUGUUGUUAGAAAACAUUGCAUUGCCAUGAACUCCCCGUGUCUGUCUGAAGAAAAAAUAAAAGUACAGUGUGCAGCA
rnacentral:lncRNA from 1 species